GACGAACGCUGGCGGCGUGCUUAACACAUGCAAGUCGAACGGAAAGGCCCUGCUUUUGUGGGGUGCUCGAGUGGCGAACGGGUGAGUAACACGUGAGUAACCUGCCCUUGACUUUGGGAUAACUUCAGGAAACUGGGGCUAAUACCGGAUAGGAGCUCCUGCUGCAUGGUGGGGGUUGGAAAGUUUCGGCGGUUGGGGAUGGACUCGCGGCUUAUCAGCUUGUUGGUGGGGUAGUGGCUUACCAAGGCUUUGACGGGUAGCCGGCCUGAGAGGGUGACCGGCCACAUUGGGACUGAGAUACGGCGCAGACUCCUACGGGGGGCAGCAGUGGGGAAUAUUGCACAAUGGGCGGAAGCCUGAGGCAGCAACGCCGCGUGCGGGAUGACGGCCUUCGGGUUGUAAACCGCUUUCGCCUGUGACGAAGCGGGAGUGACGGUAAUGGGUAAAGAAGCACCGGCUAACUACGUG
rnacentral:rRNA from 1 species